UGGACUGCUUUAAGCCAACAAGUUUGUGGGGGGGUGGCGGGGAAAACUGGGACAGCCAAGGAAGCCUCUCCUUCAACAAGGACCCCGCCACAAGAGAACGAAAUAAAGAUGGCAACAGUCAGAGACUUCCUACGCGGCUGGCCCUUUAACAGUGAAAGUGCCACUCAGCAAAGACAGUUACCUAUGUGUGGGGAAAAAGUUAGAAGACAUCGGAAGAGAAAAAUAGGAAGGCAAGUGUGAACUUCAGAAUCUCUAAGAAGUCCCGUGCUAACAACCUGUUAGAAUCUGCUCUUCUGCACAUGUUGUUUUCCUCAAGUGUCUACAAAGAACCACAAACCACCAUGAUCAUCUGCAGCUUUCUACCCCACAAGUGUCUCUGAAUAAACUUGCUUUCUCAUCCCUGUC